AGAUCCUUCUAGAAGCAGAAGCUUCUAUUAGGUCUUCUUACAUCCACCUUAUUCUAUUUUAUUGAAAUGCCUUAUUAAUAUUGACCUUUAUUACAUCCGAAUAUAUUGAUCUACUUAUGUGCGGGUUAGGACCCUAACACUUACCAAGGCGACAAUUAGCAGCUAGUUUGAGAAGAUGAUCAACCACAUUGGGACUAAGACAUGGCCCAGACUCCUACGGGAGGUAGCAGUGGGGAAUUUUCCACAAUGGACGAAAUCCUGAUGGAGCAAUGCUGUGUGAAGGCAGAAGGCCCACGGGUAAUGAAAUUAUUUUCUUGGAUAAGAAACAAUGAUGGUAUCUGAGGAAUAAGCAUCGACUAACUCUGUGCCAACAGCCGUGGUAAGACAGAGGAUGCAAGUUUUAUCUGGAAUGAUUGGGUGUAAAGCGUCUAUAGGUGGCUUUUCAAGUCCCCCGUCAAAUCCUAGGGCCCAACCCUGGACAGGCGGUGGAAACUACCAAGAUGGAGUAUGGUAGGGGUAGAGGGAAUUUCUAGUGGAGUGAUGAAAUGCGUUGAGAUCGGAAAGAACACCAAUGAAGAAAACACUCUGCUAUGUCGACACUGACACUGAGAGAUGAAAUCUAGGGGAGCAAAUGGGAUUAGAUACCCCAAUAGCGCUAGCUGUAAACGAUGGAUACUAAGUGUUGUGCGUAUCGACCUGUGUAGUGUUGUAGUGUUGACGGGCGAAAACGACC
rnacentral:ncRNA from 1 species